CUGGGCGUAAGAGCAUGUAGGCGGGUAUUUAAGUCAGGAGUGAAAACUAUGGGCUCAACCCAUAGCCUGCUCUUGAAACUGGAUACCUUGAGGGUAUGAGAGGAAAGCGGAAUUCCCAGUGUAGCGGUGAAAUGCGUAGAUAUUGGGAGGAACACCAGUGGCGAAGGCGGCUUUCUGGCAUACAACUGACGCUGAGAUGCGAAAGCGUGGGGAGCGAACGGGAUUAGAUACCCCGGUAGUCCACGCCGUAAACGAUGGGUACUAGGUGUAGGAGGUAUCGACCCCUUCUGUGCCGUAGUUAACACAAUAAGUACCCCGCCUGGGGAGUACGGCCGCAAGGUUGAAACUCAAAGGAAUUGACGGGGGCUCGCACAAGCGGUGGAGCAUGUGGUUUAAUUCGACGCAACGCGAAGAACCUUACCAGGGCUUGACAUCCUCUGACGUCUCAAGAGAUUGGGAGUUUAGGAGCUUGCUCUUAACAGAGAGACAGGUGGUGCAUGGUUGUCGUCAGCUCGUGUCGUGAGAUGUUGGGUUAAGUCCCGCAACGAGCGCAACCCUUAUCUUUAGUUGCCAGCAAUUCGGUUGGGCACUCUAGAGAGACUGCCGGUGACAAACCGGAGGAAGGUGG
rnacentral:rRNA from 1 species